AGAUGAUGAUGUGGACAUUGUCGCUGAAGACUCUGAAAUCGAUCCCAUGCCUCAUGAAAAGUCUCACCAGAAUUUUGAGCAAAUGUGACAAUUUGUGCUCUCAAAUC